CACGUAGGGCGCAAGCGUUGUCCGGAAUUAUUGGGCGUAAAGAGCUCGUAGGCGGUCUGUCGCGUCGGCUGUGAAAACCUGGGGCUCAACUCCGGGCCUGCAGCCGAUACGGGCUGACUAGAAUUCGGUAGGGGAGACUGGAAUUCCUGGUGUAGCGGUGAAAUGCGCAGAUAUCAGGAGGAACACCGGUGGCGAAGGCGGGUCUCUGGGCCGAUAUUGACGCUGAGGAGCGAAAGCGUGGGGAGCAAACAGG
rnacentral:rRNA from 1 species